rnacentral:rRNA from 1 species
CGGAGGGUGCGAGCGUUGUCCGGAUUUAUUGGGUUUAAAGGGUGCGUAGGCGGUUCUUUAAGUCCGGGGUGAAAGCCCGCUGCUCAACAGCGGAACUGCCCUGGAUACUGGAGAACUUGAGUACAGACGAGGUUGGCGGAAUGGACCGAGUAGCGGUGAAAUGCAUAGAUACGGUCCAGAACCCCGAUUGCGAAGGCAGCUGACUAGGCUGUUACUGACGCUGAGGCACGAAAGCGUGGGGAGCGAACAGGAUU